UUCCAUCUGGAAGAAUCUGGAGACAGGUGCUGCAUGGCUGUCGUCAGCUCGUGUCGUGAGAUGUGGGUUAAGCCCGCAACGAGCGCAACCCUUGCCUUUAGUUGCCAGCAGUUCGGCUGGGCACUCUAAAGGGACUGCCGGUGUUAAACCGGAGGAAGGUGGGGAUGACGUCAAGUCCUCAUGGCCUUUAUGACCAGGGCUACACACGUACUACAAUGGCCGAUACAAAGGGCAGCGACACUGCGAGGUGAAGCCAAUCCCGUAAAAUCGGUCUCAGUCCGGAUUGGAGUCUGCAACUCGACUCCAUGAAGUUGGAAUCGCUAGUAAUCGUGGAUCAGCAUGCCACGGUGAAUACGUUCCCGGGCCUU
rnacentral:rRNA from 1 species